rnacentral:lncRNA from 12 species
AUGGCUCUGAUUUUUUUUCCUGGUCUUUGCCAGCAAAUUUUCAGGGAUCUCUUAGCAGAAGAGAGGACAUUGUUUGCUGCAUCUUCCACUCCUGUGGAGUUCUUGGACGCUGACUGUUUACAGGGGCUUGCAACUGCCUUUGUUUCCCAUCUGGUAUUAAUUUUUGCUUCUUCUUCUUUACCAGGCUUUGACUCAUCUCCGCCCAAACCUUCAGGUUUCCUGAAGGCUCACGUCCCAAGACAUGGCGCCCCAUCCAGGACCAUCAUCAUGGUGUGAAUGAUCAUGCUCAGAAGGACCCCAGGCUGGGCUUAAAGGCUUUGCUGUCACCAUAUUAAAAUUCUGAAUGGUUUCUUCGUUGGAGUUAUAUUUUGUAAGUGGAUUCUGUUGGGACAAUAGAGCACGCACAGAACAGAGAAGAUGCUUACACUAUGCAUGUCUGCCUUUUCUCACCAUUCCAUUCUUGCCGUGAACGCAGGAUUCCAGUGGGCUCACAGUGUGUGGCAGUUGUUGGAGAUUCAAAGUAAAUGCUGCGAGGUGAGUGUGCUUUGUCUACCAGCGGGUGAGCCAGGGAGUGGGAGGGACAACGGCUGCCCCCAGAGGCCAUGCUUUCCUUUUGAACUCAAACUCGCUUCCAACACAGAAAGGAAGGGAUGGCAUGCUAAGAAACACCAAUGACCAAGAAACCCUUUGUCCUCUCUUACUCAUGUUGCUUCUCUGCACUGGCCAACCACUAGCUCCUUUUCUUUCUAUCCUUCCUUACUCAAAGGUAAAGACUGCUAGUACAAUGUGCACAAUCAAGAGAUGACAUAAAAGCAGCUGAGUUAGUGUUGUGCAGCUUUUCCAGUGUUAUGGUAAGAACAAAAUAUGCAAAUUGUGUAAUUUUGGUGAUUAGCAUAUGAGUUAAAUGCCCUUAUAUUUGCAUUUAAAACCAGCACCGCACAAUGUAGAGAUGAAAGGUAAGAUUUCAUGCUAAUAAUUUAAAAUUUAAAUUUUCCUUUACUUAGAGUGGCAUGAAAUAGCAAAUUAAAAAAAAAUAAAAAAAAUAAAACAAGCCA